AUCCAGAAGAGGAUUGGGAGAAUAUCAUGUGGUCAGAUGAAACCAAAUAGAACAUUUUGAUAAAAACUCAACUUUAUGAGGAGAAU